UUAUUAAAUAGAAUUUCUAAUCAUUGGAAAAUAGUCAACUUUUGAAAAUUCAAAGACGUUUCUCAUGUGUUCCACCAAAAUUUAUGGUUCUAAUUCUAGAAGGACAAAAUAAUUGGGUUAUAGUAUAUGUGUCAUGUAAGUUUUUUCUUUCUAAAAUAAGUAAUAUCUUUUUUCCCCAGGUGGACUUAGUCACAGGUUUAGCAAUAGAAGAAGCCUGUUAUGCUCAGACUAUUCCAACCAAAGACAGACUUGAAGGUCUUCUGGCUUUUAAAGAAAAAAGGCCCCCUCGUUACAAAGGAGAAUAAAACACAUAGAAGCUUUGUCAUUCAUAUGUGCUCUCCCUACUUCUAGAAGUACCUUUGUGGUGUAUCUUGAGGCAAAUGGAUUUAUAACCACCAAAAUGAAAAGCAAGCUACUCAUAGAAUGCAUUAAACAUCUGGAAUGUGCUCAACCAUGUACUUCAUUAAAGCACAUACACUGUUACAUUCA